rnacentral:rRNA from 1 species
UACGUAGGGUGCGAGCGUUGUCCGGAAUUAUUGGGCGUAAAGAGCUUGUAGGCGGUUUGUCGCGUCUGCCGUGAAAAUCCGAGGCUCAACCUCGGACUUGCGGUGGGUACGGGGCAGACUAGAGUGUGGUAGGGGAGACUGGAAUUCCUGGUGUAGCGGUGAAAUGCGCAGAUAUCAGGAGGAACACCGGUGGCGAAGGCGGAUCUCUGGGCCAUUACUGACGCUGAGGAGCGAAAGCGUGGGGAGCGAACAGG